GAUGGGUUCAGGUUGGGUUCAGGAUGGGUUCAGGUUGGGGUUCAGGAUGGGUUCAGGUUGGGGUUCAUUUUGGGGUUCAGGAUGGGGUUCAGGAUGGGUUCAGGAUGGGUUCAGGAUGGGGUUCAGGAUGGGGUUCAGGAUGGG